AGCAGGAAGUGAAUGCUGCUUUAGUCAGUGUGAAGGGUUUCAGCAUCCUGAGGAGGAGCAUACAGAGAAAUCUGAAACCACAAACAAGAGCAACUUUGAACACCCUCUGUACAAACCCCAAAACCUCUAUAAGCAGUUGAGGAGGGAGCACAGACUGUUACUGGACGUGAUGCUGGUUCUGUACAGAAGAGAGUGGUUUCUGCAGGAUGCCAUACCAUACGUCAGACGUACACUCAGGAAGUGUGGACUGAGGCCUGAGGAUUUAGACUAAAGACUGUUCUUGCGUGUGAGUGAAUGAAGAAGGUGUCACUGGGGCCACAUCCUAUGAUGAGAAACACCAUUCUUCAGACGGCCCACUGAUGCCUUCCUCCCAACCUGGAUGAGCUCCACCUGUUCACUAAUGAAAGAGGUCAAAGGUCACCAUGUGUUUAAUCUGAGGUUUUAUAGGAGCAAUUUAGUUUUUAGUAGUUGAAUGUUUGAAAAUAUAAUUUUUAUUGUCAUUUAUUUCAUUUUUAGCCACAGUUGCAGACCUCUCUGUAUCUUCUCCAUUUUGUCUCCAGCAAGUAAUGAGCUGUCUUUCUCUCUGACCGGGUUUGAUCUGGCUCAGGUUGAGUUUUUCCAGCUCAGCUAUGUUUCUCAGGUGUUCUCUCUUCAGCUCCUCUAGUUUGGUGUAGUAUUCCUGUUUGGAGAAUGUGGGUCCCUGCAGAUGAGGGGCUGCACAUGGCUUCCCAUAGUCAACAUCAGAAAGAGAACUGAAGUCGCACGGCACUAUGUUAUCACCAUCAGUCUGCAGCUCACACACCUGAGAAACCGAAAACAAGCAAACCAGCCUGAAGUUCACUCGGCUGCAGCCUCUCUGUGCGCAGUAUCGGAGUCAUGGUCCAGGCUUGUGUAGACCCAGAAGAGCAAUUCACAUACACAGUCAUCCUGAAGUCUGGUACCAUAAUGAGGUGACUCCUCCUCCUUCAACAUCAUCAGGUGGAACGUCACAGUUACGUCACGUCUGCUCCUGGCAAGUCUGUGUGAUUUUCUUGUUCUGAUCUAGAUAUGAAAGUGCCCUGUGUUCUGUAAAAGGACAGUUUGUGUAAACAAGUCUUGUUCCCUCUGCAGCCAAACAUGUAUGAAUGCGUAUGUUUGACUUGGAAGUGUGAGUGUCAGUGAAGAGUCAAGAUCUUGCUCUCUGCUAUAAAUGUUUAGGGUCAGAAAGCACUGAAAAAACACUUUCUUAAUAAGUAUUUGUGUCUUGUAUGCCAGUAAAAAUAUCUAAAAAUCUUUCAAAUGUACUUGAUAUAUAAAAAAGAACCAUAAUAUAACGUUUUCAGGAACAAUUUUGCACAAUAUCUAAUUUACAAUAUUUAAUAUUUGUACUGGAAAACAGGAAUAAAAUGCCUGUGACUUUUU